AUUGAACGCUGGCGGCAUGCCUUACACAUGCAAGUCGAACGGUAACAGGCCGCAAGGUGCUGACGAGUGGCGAACGGGUGAGUAAUGCAUCGGAACGUGCCCAGUCGUGGGGGAUAACUGCUCGAAAGAGCAGCUAAUACCGCAUACGACCUGAGGGUGAAAGCGGGGGACCGAAAGGCCUCGCGCGAUUGGAGCGGCCGAUGUCAGAUUAGGUAGUUGGUGGGGUAAAAGCCUACCAAGCCGACGAUCUGUAGCUGGUCUGAGAGGACGACCAGCCACACUGGGACUGAGACACGGCCCAGACUCCUACGGGAGGCAGCAGUGGGGAAUUUUGGACAAUGGGGGCAACCCUGAUCCAGCCAUGCCGCGUGCGGGAAGAAGGCCUUCGGGUUGUAAACCGCUUUUGUCAGGGAAGAAACGCGCUGAGCUAAUACCUCGGCGUAAUGACGGUACCUGAAGAAUAAGCACCGGCUAACUACGUGCCAGCAGCCGCCGUAAGAC
rnacentral:rRNA from 1 species